AUACUUACCUGGCGUAGGGGAUACCGUGAACAUGCAGGCGGUUCCCCCAAGGCGAGGUUGCUCCAUUGCACUGCGGAUUGGUUGACCGUUGCGAUUAUGUUAAUUUUUAUCAAUAAAAAAUCCUAAUAAUAAUGUAUACCCGAAUUUAUUUUCUUUAUACC
rnacentral:snRNA from 9 species